UCCAGCGUGGCAUAGUGGCUUGAGUGUUGGCCUAUAACCAUGGAGACCAGGGUUCGAUUCUCAGCUUGGAC